AGUGAACGCUGGCGGUAGGCCUAACACAUGCAAGUCGAACGGCAGCACAGUAAGAGCUUGCUCUUACGGGUGGCGAGUGGCGGACGGGUGAAGAAUACAUCGGAAUCUACUUUUUCGUGGGGGAUAACGUAGGGAAACUUACGCUAAUACCGCAUACGACCUACGGGUGAAAGCAGGGGAUCUUCGGACCUUGCGCGAUUGAAUGAGCCGAUGUCGGAUUAGCUAGUUGGCGGGGUAAAGGCCCACCAAGGCGACGAUCCGUAGCCGGUCUGAGAGGAUGAUCAGCCACACUGGAACUGAGACACGGUCCAGACUCCUACGGGAGGCAGCAGUGGGGAAUAUUGGACAAUGGGCGCAAGCCUGAUCCAGCCAUACCGCGUGGGUGAAGAAGGCCUUCGGGUUGUAAAGCCCUUUUGUUGGGAAAGAAAAGCAGCAGGUUAAUACCCCGCUGUUCUGACGGUACCCAAAGAAUAAGCACCGGCUAACUUCGUG
rnacentral:rRNA from 1 species